rnacentral:rRNA from 1 species
UACGGAGGAUGCAAGCGUUAUCCGGAAUGAUUGGGCGUAAAGCGUCCGCAGGUGGCAAUGUAAGUCUGCUGUCAAAGCGUCUGGCUAAACCAGAUAAAGGCAGUGGAAACUACAUAGCUAGAGUAAGGUAGGGGUAGAGGGAAUUCCUGGUGUAGCGGUGAAAUGCGUAGAGAUCAGGAAGAACACCGGUGGCGAAAGCGCUCUGCUGGACCUUAACUGACACUGAGGGACGAAAGCUAGGGGAGCGAAUGGG